UUUUGUUUCAUUAUAAACAGAGCUCAUCUCUGUCGUCGACCUCCUCCUAUCUAUUCCUCACCGAAAAUCCAGACAUAGAGACCGAACACUUAUGUAUCGAAAUCUAAACCGAAGCAAUUUUUAAAGAUCGGCAGUGAGUAACAUUGAUAACAAAGAUUUGAUCAAAAUUGUGUAAAGCAACGCUAGUUUGGAGGAUAUAUACUUGAAUGGGAGAAGAUAAAAGUAAUCUCUAUAUUUGGGUGAUUAGACAUGAUUCACCAUCAAUGGUUGAAAAAGCUUCCGGAGCUUCUAUCGUGAACAUCUGUUCUAUAAAGCCUAACCUCCUAACAGAAGUUGAAGGGAGAAGACGAACAGAGAACAGACAUAUAUGAUUUGAUAUAUUCAUAUUCAGAAUCGACAUACAGAGGAGCUCCGGCGAAGAUCAUAAAUGAUUUUUAAUUAGAGAAGUCAGGUUGACUUAAUUGUAAAAGCUCUGUUUAAUGAUAGAACCAUCUAGUAGACUGUUUAGAAGUCACGGAAUCAACAUUGGACUUGCUUGAAGUAUUAGUAGUACCGACCAACUACUCUUUCUAGAGAAACCGAGGGAAGGGAGAUGGACACAAAGAUAAGAAUAAGUUGUCGAAAAAUAAUAGUGAACUUACAACGACAUGGUAAUAUUAUGUCUUUUUAAAGAUGACCAAUGGUUUGAGUUGGACGUUCUGAUGCAAAGGAAGACAACAACCUUGAUGAAUAACAGACUUAAGACCAACAUUAACCGAGGAAUAUUUCGUAUGGAAACAUAUCAGGGGAUCAAAAUGUUAUACUUACUGAGGUACUUUUACUAUCUUAGGUUUCAUUGGUUUUGUUUCGAGUUAUAUAAAGUGGUCAAUUUUUAUUAAUUAGAUGGUCUGGCGUAGUAUUGUAUAGUGAAUUUAUGAGAUAGCGAAGUUGUUGGUUAGCAAAUAUAUAAAACGACAGUGUUUUGUUUUGGUCAAUGGCAUAAGAUUGUAAUUUUUUAGGAAAACUCAGGGUUAAUAUUAUUUGUACUCAUGUUUUAAUAGUUUUAACUAGAUUUUUGACCCGCGCGGGAUUACUUGUUUUUAAAAAUCUGAUUUAAAUAAUAUGUUGUUAUAUUACAAAUAAUUUCUUGGACAAUCAGCAGAUUUGUUACUGAAUCGCCAAAGUCUCAGAAGGUUUGUGUUUGAUGUCUCUAAGAUUUCUUCAGUUUUCUUUUCGGUUGUGUACAUUUGUUUGAUUGUCAUAGAUGAAGACCUAACUAAAUCGGUUUGGUUGGAAUAGUGGUGAUGUAUGAAAUGAUAGAUAUUGUUGUAUUUAUAUAGGUGUAGAUUAGCCAACUUUUUAUUCUAAAUGGACAAUAUAUUAUAGGAAUAAAAUCGUUUAGUUUAGGAAGUUCCUAUAUUUUUGGUGCUAUUAAAUCUUUUGAAAUUACCAAGAAGUUGAAACUAACAAUUGAUAUGAAUAUGUCGAUAGAAAUCAUAACUAUAUAUGGAUUUAAGUUACAAUAAAAUAGGAAUAGUAAUAUUUAGUUGAAAUAUUUUUAAAUUAAAUAGUUUUAAAUCGUGUAGAUAGUACAUAUAGAGCUGCCCAAGUUAUAAGAGAUAACAUAUUUAUUACUGAUUCAUAUAAGAUUGUUUAAUUGAUAUUUAAAAAUGAAAAAUAGAUAUUUAGGAAUAUUUUUUGUUUAAUUUAAGAAAAUACUAUAUUAUUGAUCUAAUAAAAUCUUUUAAAUAUGAUUAUAUCUGUAUGAUUGGUAUAAAAUGGACAAUAUAUUUUUAGAAAUAUAUUCUUGUAGUUUAGGAGUUUCCUUCUAUUAUUGGUGCUAUCAGAUCUUUUAAAAAUGUCAAGAUAAGGAUACUAAUAGUUGAUCUCAACCUGUUGUUUAGAAUACGUGGAUUUAGGAAAAUUAUAAUAAAUUUAUAAUUUAAAAAUGAUCUCAUAAUUUAUCAAUAAAAACAUGGUUGAUGGUCUCAUAAUGAUCUCUUAAUUCAUUGGUCGUCAUCUCUCUAUUGAAGAAAAAGGAAUCAAGACCGGCGUUGUAUGGCAUUAUGUUUGAUAUCUAUCACUUUUAUCGUCUAUUUGAUACCAUCUCCUUCCGUUAUGUUCCUCGUUUACAAAACACUGAGGCCGACAAUGUGACAAAGUCGGCUCUCUUAUAUGCUGAUGUACCUCCUAUGGAUUGAAAGACCUAUUUAGUUUAGAGUAAUUGCACUCUACACAUAAGAAAAACCAUGUAAUUGGCGAUAUGCACAUUUGGUGUUUACUUAGGAAUCAUCGACAAUUACAUGGACCAUUAUACCCCUAUUAUUUUCUACAUGCAUUUUGUUUUCGUGAUGCCCACAACUUUUAGUAGAUCAUAUAUCUGAUAAACCAAAUAUACACGAAAUCUAUUCAUGUCAAACAACUUGAAAUAUUCUAAUGUUUUUGAAAAGUUUCCCCUUAUUGUAAAAAUCUAGACACCCAAAAGCACAUCUUCUUCUAUUUAUAUUCAACUGUUCUGUAUUCAAGAAAAAAAAUCAACUGUUCUUCUCUUGUUUGAUACAUAUCCGAAGAAUAUCUCUUGCAAGGCGCAAGUUAUUUCCAUAAUUUCGGCUGGUGUUGAACAAAAUAAUGUCAACCUGGAACUUGGCUGGUCCGACGACGAAGAAGAUGUUCAAGUUGAAAAUCUUGUCAAGUGUAUCGAAGAAGUUUUCUCUUUUUCUAAUUCCCAUUUCACAGGCGGAGCCACCAAAGCUGAUGUUAUCCAGAUGCGUGAUGAAGCCAAAAAGGAAAACAAAACUUGUAAAACCGCAAGAGCCAACCCAAAACAACAUGUGUCCCAUGCAAUCGACGCAGACAAUAAUAUCUCUAAACUAUGCUAAAGAUUUGUGAAGUAGUUCUAACUUUGAAAAUGUCUUUGUCAAAACUUUACAGAACCUGUAACAAAAAUGGAAAAUCAAACUAACAAGACAGCUUAACUCGGCUAAAAUAUGAAUUAUACG